AUUAUGCAAAUUAUCGUUAUGUAUAAAUUGUGUCUGUCACAUUAGCAGGCAGAUGAAUCUGAAACUGGUGGCAUUAAAGAUGUGGGCCCUGUUUUAAUGCAUGCCACCUUUGUGUAUGAGGAGCAGGAAUGAGCAAGAGUGUCCUUGGUCUGCCUCAUCCUUGUUUCAGUGCUCUCCAUGUGUUGAAAGCAACUGCCUGUAGCUGAGAGCUUUCUGUCCAUGGAAACGCCAUACAAUUUAUGAUCCUUUUUUUCCAGAGUUCUAAAUUCCAUGCACUAAACUGCAUUCCCUAGAAACAGAUCAACCCCUAAACUAGGAGGGUGGUAGAAAGAGGAAGAUGGCAGAGCUAGUACACUCAUGCCCCUCUCCCUCUACUUGUGUGUUUUUAGAGAUGGCAUGCAUUAAAACACCUGGAAAAUUAGUCAUGCUUACAAGAGAUAUACUGAAGCCAAGGCUGCUUAAGUGGAUUCUCAAUGCCAUGGACUAAACUGCAUCCUCUGCAAACAGGAUGUAUCAAAAUGUUCCUGGAGGCCAGCCGCUUGGUACUUGCUAUAAGCAUGAACUGGCCUGUAAUUUCCAAAAAGGCCUCAAGGGUCAAAGCUUCUCAGAAGACAUACCUUCUCAUCAUGAUGUCCUUGCCACUAAACAGCAGAUGCAUGCAGCAGGCUGCUUGUGAACAAGCAAUGAACCACAAAGGCCAGGGGAAGAUGUUGAAUACAGAGACCACAAAAUGUAUCAGGAUGAGACUAUUUUUAUUUAUUUAUUUUUAUUUAUUUAUUUAUUGUAUUUAUACCCUGCCUAUCUAGUCAUUUCGACCACUCUAGGCGGCUUACAACAUAAGGAUAACAAGUUCUAAAAAAAAUAACAAUUAAUUAAUUAAAUGUGAGGUCAAAAUGAAUUCAUUUGCAUUCAUUCCUUGUGAAGUUAUAUCAAGAAAAUCAGAUCUGUGUGAUUUAAGUGGCCACACAAAAAACAUGAGACUUUUUUCUGCUGGUUGCUUGUAGUUUGCUCAUAGUCCUGUAGAUGGUGUCAUUACAAAGAACUGUUUUGCAUACAACAAAAAAGCUUCCUUAUUCAAAUUCCUCAUGCAGUUACCUUCUUAGCUUAAAAAAAUCCUUGCCCUCUGAGACAAGCUCCAUUUCUUAACCUGUCGUAUAAAAACAGACACCAGGAGUUUUGCCCAUGGAAGAGAACUGGGGGGGCGGGGAGUAUCUAGAGAGGGAAGCUUUGCUCCCUGUAAGUGCGAGCGGCUUGUGUGUUUAUGUAUGUAUGGCAUGUGAAGCAAGAAGUGAGGAAGAAGGUGCUUGGUAUAUGUAUGUACAAGCUCAGUUGGGCUUUCUUUUCUGUAUCAGUUCAAAGUGAUUGUAUACUUUGAACUGAAGCAAAAAGAUGCAACUUUUGAAAAGUGGAAGGGUUUCUGUGGUGGAAGAAAAAGUACAGAUUGGGGUGUGGGACUCCAAGCCGUUUUACAUUUCCUGUUGCAUGAUGUGAUCAGCAGGGAAAAAUGCAAAUUCCUUUUUUUAAAAAAAAAAUUAACUCUGAGACAAGUGAACACCAAGAAGAGCCACUGUCUGCUCUUAUCAUUCAUCUUCCACUAACUGCGGCAUAUUUGACUGUUUGCUGUGGCCUAAGCUCUUUGCCCC
ensembl:lncRNA